rnacentral:rRNA from 1 species
AUACGAAGGGUGCAAGCGUUACUCGGAAUUACUGGGCGUAAAGCGUGCGUAGGUGGUUGUUUAAGUCUGUCGUGAAAGCCCUGGGCUCAACCUGGGAAUGGCGAUGGAAACUGGGCGACUAGAGUGUGGCAGAGGGUAGUGGAAUUCCUGGUGUAGCAGUGAAAUGCGUAGAGAUCAGGAGGAACAUCCGUGGCGAAGGCGACUGCCUGGGCCAACACUGACACUGAGGCACGAAAGCGUGGGGAGCAAACAGGAUUAGAUACCCUGGUAGUCCACGCCCUAAACGAUGCGAACUGGAUGUUGGGUGCAAUUUGGCACGCAGUAUCGAAGCUAACGCGUUAAGUUCGCCGCCUGGGGAGUACGGUCGCAAGACUAAAACUCAAAUGAAUUGGCGGGG